rnacentral:rRNA from 1 species
GUGGACUCGUCGUGCCGAGAAAGAGCUUCUAAGGUUAGGUUAUCAGGAACCGUACCGCAAACCGACACAGGUAGGCGAGCUGAGAAUGCUAAGGCGUACGGAAGAACUCACGUUAAGGAACUCGGCAAAUUACAUACGUAACUUAGGGAGAAGUAUGGCCUCCUUCGAGAGAAGAGGUUGCAGAGACCAGGCCCGAGCGACUGUUUACCAAAAACACAGGUCACUGCGAACCAGCAAUGGGAAGUAUAGUGACUGACACCUGCCCGGUGCUGGAAGGUUAAGAGGAGCUGUUAGCAUUUAUGUGAAGCAGUGAAUUGAAGCCCCAGUAAACGGCGGCCGUAACUAUAACGGUCCUAAGGUGGCGAAAUUCCUUGUCGGGUAAGUUCCGACCCGCACGAAUGGUGUAACGAUUUGGGCACUGUCUCGACGUGAGAUCCGGUGAAAUUAAAGUCUCGGUGAAGAUGCCGAGUACUCGUGGUUAGACGGAAAGACCCCGUGAACCUUUACUGCAUCCUGAUAUUGAUGCGUGGAUUAUGAUGUGUAGGAUAGGUGGGAGACUAUGAUUUCUGGUCGUCAGGCUGGGAUGAGUCGUUGGUGAAAUACCACCCUUUAUGAUUCAUGUAUCUAACGCUGACCGUGAAGCCGGUUAGCGGACAUUGUCAGGUGGGCAGUUUGACUGGGGCGGUCGCCUCCCAAAGCGUAACGGAGGCGCGCGAAGGUUCUCUUUUCACGGUCAGAAAUCGUGAAUGAAGUGUAAAGGCAUAAGAGAGCUUGACUGCGAGACUGACAAGUCGAGCAGGUACGAAAGUAGGUCUUAGUGAUCUGG